UAGGGAAUCUUCCGCAAUGGGCGAAAGCUUGACGGAGCAACGCCGCGUGAGUGAUGAAGGUCUUCGGAUCGUAAAACUCUGUUAUUAGGUAAGAACAAAUGUGUAAGUAACUAUGCACGUCUUGACGGUACCUAAUCAGAAAGCCACGGCUAACUACGUGCCAGCAGCCGCGGUAAUACGUAGGUGGCAAGCGUUAUCCGGAAUUAUUGGGCGUAAAGCGCGCGUAGGCGGUUUUUUAAGUCUGAUGUGGAAGCCCACGGCUCAACCGUGGAGGGUCAUUGGAAACUGGAAAACUUGAGUGCAGAAGAGGAAAGUGGAAUUCCAUGUGUAGCGGUGAAAUGCGCAGGGAUAUGGAGGAACACCAGUGGCGAAGGCGACUUUCUGGUCUGUAACUGACGCUGAUGUGCGAAAGCGUGGGGAUCAAACAGG
rnacentral:rRNA from 1 species